ensembl:snRNA U6 U6 spliceosomal RNA
GUGCUUGCUUCAGCACAUAUACUAAAAUUGGAAUAAUUCAGAGAUGAGCAUGGCCUCUGUGCAAGGACAUGCAAAUUUACAAAAUGUUUCAUAUUUUU